rnacentral:rRNA from 1 species
GAUGAACGCUAGCUACAGGCUUAACACAUGCAAGUCGAGGGGAAACGGCAUCGAAAGCUUGCUUUUGAUGGGCGUCGACCGGCGCACGGGUGAGUAACGCGUAUCCAACCUGCCCAUCACUUGGGAAUAACCUGGCGAAAGUAAGACUAAUGCCCAAUGAUAUCCCACGAAGGCAUCCGAAUGGGAUUAAAGAUUUAUCGGUGAUUGAUGGGGAUGCGUCUGAUUAGCUGGUUGGCGGGGUAACGGCCCACCAAGGCGACGAUCAGUAGGGGUUCUGAGAGGAAGGUCCCCCACAUUGGAACUGAGACACGGUCCAAACUCCUACGGGAGGCAGCAGUGAGGAAUAUUGGUCAAUGGGCGAGAGCCUGAACCAGCCAAGUAGCGUGCAGGAUGACGGCCCUAUGGGUUGUAAACUGCUUUUAUAAGGGAAUAAAGUGAGUCUCGUGAGACUUUUUGCAUGUACCUUAUGAAUAAGGACCGGCUAAUUCCGUGCCAGCCGCCGCAGUAA